rnacentral:rRNA from 1 species
UACGUAGGGUGCGAGCGUUGUCCGGAAUUAUUGGGCGUAAAGGGCGCGUAGGCGGUGCGGUAAGUCACCUGUGAAACCUCUAGGCUCAACCUAGAGCCUGCAGGCGAAACUGCCGUGCUUGAGGGUGGGAGAGGUGCGUGGAAUUCCCGGUGUAGCGGUGAAAUGCGUAGAUAUCGGGAAGAACACCCGUGGCGAAGGCGGCUCUCUGGGACGGUACUGACGCUGAGACGCGAAAGCGUGGGGAGCGAACAGG